GAGAGGGUUUUACCAGUCUAGUUUUUAUAGUGGAGGGUAAGGGUUAAGGGUUUUACCAGUCUAGUUUUUAUAGUGCAGGGUAAGGGUUAGUGGUGAGGGUUUUACCAGUCUAGUUUUUAUAGUGGAGGGUUAGUGGUGAGGGUUUAACAAGUCUAGUUUUUAUAGUGGAGGGUAAGGGUUAGUGGUGAGGGUUUUACCAGUCUAGUUUUUAUAGUGGAGGGUAAGGGUUAGUGGAGAGGGUUUAACCAGUCUAGUUUUUAUAGUGGAGGGUAAGGGUUAGUGGGGAGGGUUUUACCAGUCUAGUUUUUAUAGUGGGGGAUAAGGGUUAGCGGUGAGGGUUUAACCAGUCUAGUUGUUAUAGUGGAGGGUAAGGGUUAGUGGUGAGGGUUUUACCAGUCUAGUUUUUAUAGUGGAGGGUUAGUGGUGAGGGUUUAACCAGUCUAGUUUUUAUAGUGGAGGGUAAGGGUUAGUGGUGAGGGUUUAACCAGUCUAGUUGUUAUAGUGGAGGGUAAGGGUUAGUGGUGAGGGUUUUACCAGUCUAGUUUUUAUAGUGGAAGGUUAGUCGUGAGGGUUUAACCAGUCUAGUUUUAUAGUGGAGGGUAAGGGUUAGUGGUGAGGGUUUAACCAGUCUAGUUUUUAUAGUGGAGGGUAAGGGUUAGUGGUGAGGGUUU
ensembl:lncRNA